UUAAAUGAGAAAUAGUAAAAUACACAUGAUUUCAGUUGAAAUUUCAGCAAAAUCGGCGAGAUUUUUAAAAAAUAUUGAAUAACGUGGCAGUAUUGAACGGAACUUCGAAGAGUGAACUUUAAUUGUGAGUUUAGUUAGUUGCAGUUAAUGUAAAUCAAAAAUUAGCAACAAUAAAAAUAACGCAAAAAAAUUAAAAAAUAGUGCAAACAAAUUAAAACAAGUGCAAAUAAAUUAUAAAACAAUGUAAACAAUUUCAAAAGAAAUAAAGAAAAUUGUUACAAAAAUUAAAAAACAUAUUUUAGAGGUUUGUAAUUCUCAAAAUAUGGACGUUGGGGCUUCUUUUGUCUAUUUGGUGGAAAAAGGUAUUACGAGUAAUAAGGAUGUUGCAGAAAUUUUGAGAAAUUGCAAAACUGAAAACAUUGAUUCCUCCAGAACAAAACUUCAAUCGUAUAAAAUAUUUAAUGAACGAGACAUUUUAAAAUCGUAGAUUUGAAGUUGGAUAUUUAAACAUAUUGGAUACUUACCUAACAUUUCUUUCCUACAAGGGCACAGUUGUAAAAAUCGCAAACUAAUUUAUGAGUGCUUUUUAAAAGUUGCUUUUAAUUUCUAGAUUGAAAAUGGA